AAGCGCUUGCAAUCAGACUUGCACUUGGUGUUCAUCAGGGUCUCGUACCCUGUGUACUUCAUCAAGUUCAGGCCAGCAUCAGUUUGAGUGGUUAGAUAAAGGCGGCGGGAAUGUGGCUCUCUUCGGGGAGUGUUAUAGCCCACCGUGUAAUACCCUGGGGGGGACUGAGGUUCGCGCAUCUGCAAGGAUGCUGGCGUAAUGGU
rnacentral:rRNA from 1 species